AUUGAAACACUGGUUCUCAUAUGAUCACCUAAGUUAAGCAAUGUUGAGCCUGGCUAGUACCUGGAUGGGUGACCACUUGGGAAUAACAGGUUCUGUAA